GUUGACGAAAAGCCUUAUACUGGGCUAUUCACCUGCUUCUAAGCAACAUGAAAAGAUAUUUGGUUGUAUUUAUAAAUCUAGAACAAAUUAUCCCUAUGCUUGGUAGAGUAGACGAGAAUGAUAUGGAACAUGAACCAUUAUGCCAGAGUGUAGUGGAUAAUCGGCCAUUACAACACGACUUUAGAAAAAAGGAAAUUGCUUGCAAAUAGGUGUGAAUAAAUUCUCGGAUAAUAUCGUUAUCUCUGCCAUAAAGCUCAUAUGGGAUGGAUACUUUAAGUAAAUGCUGAUGCUCCAUAUUUCUGCUGCCGAGGGGUAGCAAAUAAAUCUUCCGUACGUAGUCAGGGAAAUGGUAAACAAUUGGGUCGCUGCUUGUUCAUUGGGGUUAGAUGUCAGAAUGAGAUAUUUAUUAGGUCGAUUAACAACCGCAAGACUUAAUGCCUUCAAAACAUUUACACUAACGAGCAUUGUUUGGCGUUCAUAAAUUUUAAACUGAUGGAUUGAAGAUGAAAUGCUGGUGUUUUAUGUCUUUAUAAUGAUGAAUGUAGAAAUAUAAAUACCCACUAAUAUUGUAAAAAUGGAAAGAAGAGGAAAAUAUGGGUUAAAUUCGACCGGGAACAAUUGUUUGGCAAUUUAUUUUAUACAUACAAUUGAAGGUCAUAAAGAGGACCCAAGGCAAACAUUUUUGUUAAA